UCAUAAUGCCAGUGUCGUGGUUCUCCGGGGUGGCUUGCUGCUCCGGAGCUAAGAGGGAAGCCGGUGUAACACCGGCGCUGCCCCCGCAACUGUAAGCGGCGAGUUCGUUGCCCAACGAUGUCACUGAGGCCGAUCGGCCUUGGGAAGACGGGCUACGGACGACGACCCGUGAGCCAGGAGACCUGCCCCGACAGCAUGAACGUC
rnacentral:ncRNA from 2 species